GUUGAACGCUGGCGGCAGGCCUAACACAUGCAAGUCGAGCGAAUGAGUGGAGCUUGCUCCAUGAUUACGCGGCGGGCGGGUGAGUAAUGAAUAGGAAUCUGACUGGCAGAGGGGGACAAAGUAACGACAGGAAAGCUAAUACCGCAUCCGAUCACAGGGAGAACGGGGGGGAUCUUAGGAGCAAACGCUAUCAGCUGUGCCUAAGACGUAUUAGCUAGUUGGUGAGGUAAAGGCUUACCAAGGCGACGAUCCGUAGCAGCCCUGAGAGGAUGAUCAGCCACACUGGAACUGAGACACGGUCCAGACUCCUACGGGAGGCAGCAGUGGGGAAUAUUGGACAAUGGGCGAAAGCCUGAUGCAGCCAUGCCGCGUGUGUGAAGAAGGUCUUCGGAUCGUAAAGCUCUGUUAGUUGGGAGGAAGGGCAGUAAGUUAAUACCUUCCUGUCUUGACGGUACCUACAGAAAAAGCACCGGCUAACUUCGUG
rnacentral:rRNA from 1 species